rnacentral:rRNA from 1 species
UACGUAGGGUCCGAGCGUUGUCCGGAUUUAUUGGGCGUAAAGAGCUCGUAGGCGGUUCCGUAAGUCAGAUGUGAAAACUCAGGGCUCAACCCGGAGACGCCAUCUGAUACUGCGGUGACUGGAGUCUGGUAGGGGAACACGGAAUUCCUGGUGUAGCGGUGAAAUGCGCAGAUAUCAGGAGGAACACCGAUAGCGAAGGCAGUGUUCUGGGCCAGUACUGACGCUGAGGAGCGAAAGCGUGGGGAGCAAACAGG